rfam:Arabis alpina cultivar Pajares chromosome 6, whole genome shotgun sequence.
UUUUGGCUUAGUUAUGAGGCAAAUAUCGAAUCUGAUCAUCAUCAAAAUACUAUUUAGUGUUUUUGUUUUGAGAAGAAGCUUUGGUUUUUUCUUCAAAUUAAGCUUCUUCUCAACAAUCUUC